rnacentral:rRNA from 1 species
UUCGCCCUUAGAGUUUGAUCCUGGCUCAGAGCGAACGCUGGCGGCAGGCUUAACACAUGCAAGUCGAGCGGGCGUAGCAAUACGUCAGCGGCAGACGGGUGAGUAACGCGUGGGAACGUACCUUUUGGCUCGGAACAACACAGGGAAACUUGUGCUAAUACCGGAUAAGCCCUUACGGGGAAAGAUUUAUCGCCGAAAGAUCGGCCCGCGUCUGAUUAGCUAGUUGGUGAGGUAACGGCUCACCAAGGCGACGAUCAGUAGCUGGUCUGAGAGGAUGAUCAGCCACAUUGGGACUGAGACACGGCCCAAACUCCUACGGGAGGCAGCAGUGGGGAAUAUUGGACAAUGGGGGCAACCCUGAUCCAGCCAUGCCGCGUGAGUGAUGAAGGCCCUAGGGUUGUAAAGCUCUUUUGUGCGGGAAGAUAAUGACGGUACCGCAAGAAUAAGCCCCGGCUAACUUCGUGCCAGCAGCCGCGGUAAUACGAAGGGGGCUAGCGUUGCUCGGAAUCACUGGGCGUAAAGGGUGCGUAGGCGGAUCUUUAAGUCAGAGGUGAAAGCCUGGAGCUCAACUCCAGAACUGCCUUUGAUACUGGGGAUCUUGAGUUCGGGAGAGGUGAGUGGAACUGCGAGUGUAGAGGUGAAAUUCGUAGAUAUUCGCAAGAACACCAGUGGCGAAGGCGGCUCACUGGCCCGAUACUGACGCUGAGGCACGAAAGCGUGGGGAGCAAACAGGAUUAGAUCCCCUGGUAGUCCACGCCGUAAACGAUG